CCGCUGCUCCGCCUCGCACCACCACCGCCGGCCAUUGCUCCCUGCCCGUCUCGCACCACCAGGUCCACCACCGUUGGAGAAAACAUAGAGAGGUGAAUUGAAACUUUGAAUUUGUUAAUUUUUUUUGGGGAAUGUGUUCUUGGAAUGAGUUUUUUGAAGAAGACGAUGGGUCGGCAGAAUUUGUAUGUUUUUGUAUAUGUUUUUGGGAAUUUGUUGAUGCAAUUCAAAACAUAGUUGGAAUUUAUUUAGUGGGAAGAAUUAAUGGAA
rnacentral:lncRNA from 1 species